rnacentral:rRNA from 1 species
CCUACGGGAGGCUGCAGUGAGGAAUAUUGGUCAAUGGGCGAGAGCCUGAACCAGCCAAGUCGCGUGAGGGAGUACUGCCCUAUGGGUUGUAAACCUCUUUUGUCGGGGAGCAAAAGCCGGACGUGUCCGGCUGUGAGAUUACCCGAAGAAAAAGCAUCGGCUAACCCCGUGCCAGCAGCCGCGGUAAUAGGGGGGAUGCGAGCGGUAUCCGGAUUUAUGGGGUUUAAAGGGUGCGAAGGCGGAUUUUUAAGUCAGCGGUCAAAUCGUGGGGCUCAACCCCAUCCAGCCGUUGAAACUGGGGAUCUAGAGUGUGCGAGAGGUAUGCGGAAUGCGUGGUGUAGCGGUGAAAUGCAUAGAUAUCACGCAGAACCCCGAUUGCGAAGGCAGCUUACCGGUGCACAACUGACGCUCAGGCACGAAAGCGUGGGUAUCGAACAGGAUUAGAUACCCCUGUAGUC